GUCCGUAAAAGAAUACAAGAAAAGGUAUGAGAAAGAAAAAAAAAAGGAGAAAUCAAAGAAGAACGUUAAAAUUGGAAAAGAGCUAGUUCCCUACAAAUAGGAACCAAAUCUGACAAUGGUUAGGAUGCCAAAUCUAACAACACAGAAUUCCAGGAUUGUGGGCAAAUCUAACAACGCAAAAUUCCAGGAUUGUGGGCUGUCUGAACAGGGGAAAUUAUUUUCGCCACGUGUUGUUAAUCAUAGGCGGAGACCUUUGGAGAAGAAAAUCCAUGGCUACCUGCACAGCAACAGAAACCAGGAGCUCUAUAACCACGAAUUUCAUAUCUGAUUGCUCUUGGACGUUAGCUAACUGUUUUCCUUUUCUGGGUAAUAAAAAUGUCAGAAAGGAAAAUGGUUGAGAGAGGAAAAAGACG
rnacentral:misc_RNA from 1 species